rnacentral:rRNA from 1 species
UACCAGCUCUCCGAGUGGUAGGGAUGAUUAUUGGGCUUAAAGCGUCCGUAGCCGGCUUAGCAAGUUUCCUGUUAAACCCAGCGACUCAAUCGUUGGAUCGCGGGAAAUACUACUAGGCUAGGAGGCGGGAGAGGUCAACGGUACUUCUGGGGUAGGGGUGAAAUCCUAUAAUCCCGGGAGGACCACCAGUGGCGAAGGCUGUUGACUAGAACGCGCUCGACGGUGAGGGACGAAAGCUGGGGUAGCAAACCGGAUUAGAUACCCGGGUAGUCCCAGCUGUAAACGAUGCGAGCUAGGUGUUGGGAUGGCUACGGGCCAUUUCAGUGCCGCAGGGAAGCCAUUAAGCUCGCCGCCUGGGGAGUACGGCCGCAAGGCUGAAACUUAAGGGAAUUGGCGGGGAGCACAGCAACGGGUGGAGCGUGCGGUUU